rnacentral:rRNA from 1 species
GACGAACGCUGGCGGCGUGCUUAACACAUGCAAGUCUAGGGGGCCCGCAAGGGUCACCGGCGAACGGGUGCGUAACACGUGAGCGACCUGCCCAGCUGCGGGGGAUAGCCGGCCCAACGGCCGGGUAAUACCGCAUACGACGCCUGCUUAGAAGCGGGACGUGAAAGCUUUUGCGCGGUUGGAGGGGCUCGCGGCCUAUCAGCUAGUUGAUGCGGUAACGGCGCACCAAGGCGAUGACGGGUAGCUGGUCUGAGAGGAUGGUCAGCCACAUUGGGACUGAGGAACGGCCCAGACGCCUACGGGAGGCAGAAGUGGGGAAUCUUGCGCAAUGGCCGAAAGGCUGACGCAGCGAAGCCGCGUGGGGAUGAAGGCCUUCGGGUUGUAAACCCCUGUUGCCGGGGACGAACACACCGUUUCGACGGUGCUGACGGUACCGGGUGAGGAAGCACCGGCUAACUCUGUGCCAGCCGCCGCCGUAACAC